rnacentral:pre_miRNA from 1 species
AAAGUACUCCCUCCGUUCCAAAAUAGAUGACUCAACUUUGUACUAAAAUUAGUAUAAAGUUGAGUCAUCUAUUUUGGAACGGAGGGAGUACAAA